rnacentral:rRNA from 1 species
CCGGGGACCUAAGGAUAAGCCGAAGGCGAUUCCGAUGGACAACGGGUUAAUAUUCCCGUACUGUUUGCAUUGCGAUGGAGGGACGCAGGAGUGACACUGCCGCCACGAGACGGAAUUCGUGGUUAAAGGGUGUAGGGAAACCGAAGCCCGACAGUACCGCAAGGCCUCGGCCGAGCGGAUAGUGCAGGUAAUCAAGCUGCCUAGAAAAGCUCCUAAGCUUCAGAUGCAAAUACCAGUACCGCAAACCGACACAGGUGGUCGAGGAGAGUAUCCUAAGGCGCUCGAGUGAUUCACAGCUAAGGAACUCGGCAAAUUCGUCCUGUAACUUCGGGAGAAGGGACGCCUACCCUCGCGAGAGGGAGGCCGCAGUGAAGAGGCCCAGGCGACUGUUUAGCAAAAACACAUGGCUUUGCGAAUUCGAAAGACGACGUAUAAGGCCUGACACCUGCCCGGUGCUGGAAGGUUAAGAGGGGGGGUCAUCCGCAAGGAGAAGCUCUGAAUCGAGGCCCCAGUAAACGGCGGCCGUAACUAUAACGGUCCUAAGGUAGCGAAAUUCCUUGUCGGGUAAGUUCCGACCUGCACGAAUGGUGUAACGAUCUGGGCACUGUCUCGGCUGUGAGCUCGGUGAAAUUGUACUGCCGGUGAAGAUGCCGGCUACCCGCAAUGGGACGAAAAGACCCCGUGAACCUUCACUACAGCUUUGCAUUGACAACGGGCCAGGGAUGUGUAGGAUAGGUGGGAGGCUGCGAACCGGUAUCGCCAGGUAUCGGGGAGCCAGCGGUGAAAUACCACCCUUCCCUUGCUUGUUGCCUAACCCCGCGAGGGAGACAGUGCAUGGCGGGUAGUUUGACUGGGGUGGUCGCCUCCAAAAGGGUAACGGAGGCUUCCAAAGGUCUGCUCAGCACGCUUGGUAACCGUGCGUAGAGUGCAAUAGCAUAAGCAGGCUUGACUGAGAGACUUACAAGUCGCACAGGUAGGAAACUAGGGUAUAGUGAUCCGGCGCUACCGCGUGGAAGGGCCGUCGCUCAAAGGAUAAAAGGUACUCCGAGGAUAACAGGCUGAUCUCCCCCAAGAGCUCAUAUCGACGGGGAGGUUUGGCACCUCGAUGUCGGCUCGUCACAUCCUGGGGCUGGAGAAGGUCCCAAGGGUUCGGCUGUUCGCCGAUUAAAGUGGCACGCGAGCUGGGUUCAGAACGUCGCGAGACAGUUCGGUCUCUAUCUAUUGCGUCGUUAGACGUUUGAGAGGGGCUGGCCUUAGUACGAGAGGACCGGGUCGGACGAACCUCUGGUGCACCUGUUGUGACGCCAGUUGCAGCGCAGGGUAGCUAUGUUCGGAAGAGAUAAGCACUGAAAGCAUCUAAGUGCGAAACUCGCCUCAAGAUAAGACGUCUUUAUAAGGGUCCUGGGAGACGACCAGGUU